GUGUGUGUAUAUAAUGCAGUGUGUUUGUGUAGUGUGCAUUAUAUAAACACACUGCAUUAUAUACACAGUUU